rnacentral:rRNA from 1 species
UACGUAGGGACCAAGCGUUGUUCGGAUUUACUGGGCGUAAAGGGCGCGUAGGCGGCUUGUCAAGUCACUUGUGAAAUCUCUGGGCUUAACCCAGAACGGCCAAGUGAAACUGUCAUGCUAGAGUGCAGAAGGGGCAAUCGGAAUUCUUGGUGUAGCGGUGAAAUGCGUAGAUAUCAAGAGGAACACCGGUGGCGAAGGCGGGUCUCUGGGCCGAUACUGACGCUGAGGAGCGAAGGCCAGGGAGCAAACGGG